GUGCAGCAGGCGCGAAAACUUUACAAUGUGCGAAAGCACGAUAAGGGAACUCUGAGUGCCUCCUAAGGAGGCUGUUCUGAUGUCUAAAAGCAACAGAAGUAAGGGCUGGGUAAGACCGGUGCCAGCCGCCGCGGUAACACCGGCAGCCCAAGUGGUAGCCACGUUUAUUGGGUCUAAAGCGUUCGUAGCCGGCCAGGUAAGUUCCUUGGU
rnacentral:rRNA from 1 species